rnacentral:rRNA from 1 species
UACGUAGGGUGCAAGCGUUGUCCGGAAUUAUUGGGCGUAAAGAGCUCGUAGGCGGUUUGUCGCGUCUGCUGUGAAAACUCGGGGCUUAACCCCGGGCCUGCAGUGGGUACGGGCAGACUAGAGUGCGGUAGGGGAGACUGGAAUUCCUGGUGUAGCGGUGAAAUGCGCAGAUAUCGGAAGGAACACCAGUGGCGAAAGCGGCUUCCUGGUCCAGCAUCGACGUUCAGGCACGAAAGCGUGGGGAGCAAACAGG